AGCAGGAGCACACUAUAAAAGAAAGCUUACUAGCCCUGAAUCAAUCAUACCUUUCUCGGCCUUUUGGCUAAGAUCAAGUGUAGUAUCUGUUCUUAUCAGUUUAAUAUCUGAUACGUGGGCCAAUGGCUCACACGAUAUUAAAUUUAUUUUUUUAGGGGAGGGUCCAUCACAGUAGCUUGCUGCUGGGGCUCUCGAUCGUCGCCUUUGCGUUGCACUAUAACAUUGGCCUGGCGCACCCCACCAAUUCUAGAAACAAGUGUAGACUAGAAUGACUUAGAAAAAUACUUCCAAUGGGAGGUGAUUGUCAUGCCAAGAGAGCUAAACUUAGAAGUUAUCUAUCUUCAUCAAUGUGAUGUAACCGAGAGUUUGUUCUUUUAUGUAGAUUGUUCGUUUAUUUUUUUAAGAGUUUGAUUAGCCGUUGAUGCAAUGAGUCUGACAUUUACUUCAUCCAAACCAAAUUACAGAAUCCUAUAAAAUUGAAAAAGA